UGCCCAUGGCUUCUUGCUGCACGUCCCUGUGACCGUGUGCUUCAGGGCUUUCCGUGGCUGCAGAGCCAGGCUUGGCUGACCAAGCUGGAGAGUCAACAGGCCGGAGCAGAACUUUGCCAGCUGGAAGGAACCACGCAGGUCUUGACCCGCCCACUGCGUGAAGCAAUUAUUUUUCUGGACAGCUCCCUGACAUUCCCAAGGAGAGAGAGAAAAUGACAGGCUCUAGUUGGAGUUUAAUCAUCCCGACCCUUCCAUCCUCGGUACCUGCAUCAAGAUGCAACACAAAUCAAAUCUUCAGGAGUCUGGACAUUUUGUUUUUGUGUAACUCAUUAAGCAUUUCCCCAUGUGCUGUGAUAGAUGUUUCUCUCGGCCAGGAAUUUUAUACCAUGUGUGCAUGUCCCUAUUUGGCUCGGCAAAAUCAUUCUCAGGAUAUACAAGCUAAUGAUGCCUGUGGUUUUGAAACUUUAUUGUGAUUAUUUGCAUAGGGCAUUUGGAAAAUCUGUAGACAGGUUAUUAAGAGAUGCUGAGCAAUGGAAACAUUAUUAGGUCCUUAUUAUUGUUCAUUGUACCCAGAUGUUGCGCAUUUCCAGCAUCCCAGAGGAUUAGGAGUGAUGUCAGAUACCCAACUCUUACUUUUCCUUGCAGAUAUUAAGUCUAAAUUUUCCUCAUUAAAAACAAAGCAUUUGCACUGAACAAGUGGCGUGCGCUUGGGCAAAACAUCAGUUCGUAAUAAAGCAGCAUUGGUCAAAUGCGACUUAGAGGCAAAGCUUUGGCUACUGUCGGAAGUUCUGGCCUGAAAAACAGAAGACUAAUGAGGUAUAUGCUCAGGAUGAAAUAAAUCAUCCCAGCAAACAUGCAGAGGGGCAAUUCUAAAGAAAAAGAAAAUUUCUUUUAAUGAAAAGGAAAGCCAGGUAGGGCAAACCUCCUCGCCAAGUGUUAAAAUCUACUAAAUUCCUAGCAAGGGCCAGGCACUCUGCCCACGGCGAUCAGAAGGCUUUUGCCUAUUAGUCCUUUAAGACACAACAUGGGGAAAUAAUAGU